CUAGCAGCUUCCUCUCAAAGAAAAUCCUAACUUCCCCAAAGAACAAACUAUCCAGAGAGUUGGUGAGUAAAAGAAGGGGGCUGGAAAGAGGGGAGCUUGCCUCACUUCUUCCUUUGGGAGACGAUUUCUGGCUCAGAGCACCCACUUCCCUCUUUGUCCUCCUCAACAGGGUUCAAAGGAAGUUGGGAUCCCUUCGAAGAUCCUGAAGGAGGGGGCGGCCCAGGGCCUUGAUACAGAGAGGUUCCUCCUUCCCAGGUUCAGGGGCACAUGGCAGGCAGAGGUCUCCUCCCUCCCUCAAUUGAGGCCAAGGGGGUCUCAGCCUGCAGCCUUUUUCCAGGGAGGCUUGGGGGACUCCACCUAAGAGAGAAGGGAGGACUUCUUGUGACCUUGCCUUCUUGUCUCCUUGCAGUGUCUAUGAGCCCCCUCAGAAGACAUCAAGGGUAAAGGGGGUAGUAAAAAGGGGGUGGGCCCCUUCCUCUCCACCCCCUGCCUCUUUUCAUCUCCCUGCCCCUCCUUGAACCUUCUUCCUCCUACUCUAGUCUUUCUCCCCUGGGCUGACUUCCCAUUCCUUCUCUUUUGGCCCCAUACUAACGAUGGAAGGGGGCAGGCCCUAUUUCACUCCUCUGCUCAAUUGUCUUUUACAGGACUCUGAAGCAGCAAUGCUGGCGGACAUCCCCAGCCUGGAGGAUGAGGUGUGGGACCCUCUCCCCAGUUCGAGCAGGUGCGUUGCUCUUCACCAGGAGGGAUGACCAUUGUAACCCUUCUUGUCCUCAGUCGCUGUUCUACCAGGCCUCACCUCCUUGUUCCUCUCUUCUAGAUCCCUAGGACAUGAGGAAGAAGACCCGGCUCUGCACCCUCGGAGAUGGUCCUCCCUGGACCCAGAGCAGUGAAACCCCCAGAGAAGGCCAACCCAUUUGUGGCUGUCAGUGGCCUUUACUAGCCUAUGAAGCAGGUGGCCAUUCCUCCUUCCCUGGCGCUGUGGAUCCCGAUGGGCCGAGAUACCCCUUGGGUUCCCCCUGCCCUCCCACCCACCCCUUCCUUACCUGGAUUCACCUGGAUGGAGGCCUGGCUGCUGGGGGCCAUGGAGGAAGAGGGGCAGCGCAUCCCACUUGCAGGGCCGCUCCGGAUGAAGGAUCCAAGGGACAGUGACCAUCGAGGGCCCAUGACCACCGAGGGACGCUGAACAUCAAAGGACCCUGGCCAUCAAGGGACAUUAACCUCAAGGGAGCCUGACCAUAGAGGAAGCCUGACCAUUGAGGAACACUUAACAUCAAGAGACCCUGACUGGCACCUGCAAGAACAAGGAGGGAGAAGACAGAACUACUUUUUUUUCUUUUAUUGUAAAAAUUUAAAAUUUGUGUUUGUUGUUAUUUAACAUAUUGUUAUUGUCUUGUUGUGUGGGAGAGGAUCCCACUCCCCUGUGAAAGCGCUGCUCUUCCCAUUUGGCCACUAUGGCUGCCUCCUGUGAAUUGGCGCUUUCCAUGGCCCUCCUCUGCAAACCCCAGGACUCACAGCCCAGCACUGGAAGAGAAGAGCUGCCCUUGAACAGCACAGUGAGAGAAGCCCCCCCCCCCCCCACUCUCUGUUUUUUGUAAUUUAAGAUGAUAUAAUUGUAUAAUCUAAUAUUGUAUAAUUUAAUUUUUUCUGGUGAGAAUAAAUGUACCCCUUUAAUUUUACUUUGACACUUUCUAUGGAUUCCUUUGGGGAGGGAGACCCAAAUUGCCCAGGACCUGCAACUGAGACCCCAUCAACACUGAAUUUUUCAUGCAGGUUGAACUGCAUAUGAGGCUGAGUUAAUACUGCCCUCUAUCCCAGGAUCUGAUCUGCUUGGAUUAUAUGAGUCUGAGAAAAGCAGAUAGUCUGGGAUCAGAUCCUGGGCUAUAGAGCAGUGUAGAUCCAACCGAAGUCUGUACUGAACAUAUAAUACAGUACAAACUGCAUGAAAUGACAGUAUAGAUAAGGUUGUAGGCCCCAUCUACACUGCCAUAUAAUCCAGUUUCAGAAUGCUUAUUAACUAUAGCUCAAACUAUGGCAGUGUAGACGGGGCAAUAGUCUGUGUUGUAUAGACUUUUUAACCAGGGUUGUCAUGUCGGGCAACACUGACGUAAAUUGUGAUUUAUUGUAUUAUUUUAUAGUCUGUUUUGUAAUCAAGUAUAUAAUAUCUGCUGUACAGUUUUAAACAUCUUUGUUUAGAAUAAAAGUACUCCUUUCUUUUUAA